UGACAUUUUCACAUUGAAUUAGCCUUCCUUUAAAAAAAUGGUAAAAACGUUGCGUUUUGUCAGGGAUGCGUAUUAGCGAAUACGGCUAAAGAAAGUUUAAGAAACCACAGAAAAAGUGCGUUAUAAUUAUGAGCGCGUCAGAAGAAAAUCUGAUGCAAUGAGAUGAAAGCAGUCGAAAUAAUAAUUCUAAAAUGAGUGGUGUCAGUUUUGAUAUUCUUGAUGAUAUUUUUAUGUCAAAUGGAGUUCUGAUAAACAAUAACAAUGUUUUUUACGUAUAAUACGUCAGAAACCCUGAGUGACGCGUCACUGCACAACCCUGGUAGUAAGGGAUGCACCAAACAGGCAGCUGAGUGCGGAUUGGUCGAUCGAGAAGAGAGCAAUACUUUCGUUCCAACAGCAGAUACU